CUUCAAAUAUUUAUCUCAGGUAUAUCCCAAUAUAUAUGGUGGUGACCUCAAAACUAGGUUCUGUACCUAUUGGACAAUCGAAGAUUCUGAAAAGACUGGGUGCUACAAUGUUUUAUGCCCUGGUUUUGUGCAAGUGAACACUAGAGUACCACCUGGUUCUACAUUCUGUGCAAUGUCCAGCCAUGAUGGACCCCAAUUUUAUAUUGAUCUCUCCGUCGUCCAGGUAUACACUUUCUAAAUAAUGUAAAUUAAUUUUGAAAAUUAGGGUUUUUUUUUUUUCCGAUCACAAUGUUUAGUGAAGUAUAAUGCUUUACUAUUUGUCAUGUGUCAAUUACAUGAAUUAGUACAUGUGAUGAAGGACUUGACAAGCAUCUUAUUGGUAUAAUUUAAGCUUAAAAUGAAUAGCGGAAGAAACUAAAAUUACAAAAGAAUGCCAUUUUAUAUUUUAUAUUUUGUAUUCAUCUCCAUCUUAUGGCAUCUUUGUAAUUAUUCACUAAAACUUUGAAUCUGAAUUCUAGUAGCUUUACUCACUUACUUUGGACUAAAAUUUUGCCAUUGAUAGGGAUGUACGUGGAAUGUGCGACUGUCAAGUGAUAAAUAGUGAAUCAUUAAAUUUAUUCACCAGGUGGCAAGUGUGUGGAAUGUACGACUGUCAAGUGAUAAAUAGUGAAUCAUUCUAUUUAUUCACCAGGAGGCAAGUGAUGCCCAGAGGGACCCACCUAAAUAUUAUUAGUAUUUAAUGACGCAAUGUUAUUAGGGAAAUUUACAGCACCACCCUCUAGAGAAUGACACCCCUUGCACAAUGCCAAAUUACGCUUACACCCCCUAACUUCAGGCUCUGUUACGGAAUAUACCUUAAAUGCUGAUAUUAGUUGGUAUAUUCACUUAAUAGAGACUGAUGAUAAAGAGUGCGAGUCUAAUGAUUUGAUAUUAUGUAGGGAGUGUCUCUCUAAUGUUGGCAUUCUCUAAGGAGUGACGCUGUAAAUUUUCCAUAUUAUAUCAGUACUUAAUGAUGCAAUUGAGUUGUUUAUUGGUUGUUUGUUGGACACAAAGACAAAGGAUUGGUGGUUAUUCGUUCAAAAAGAAUCCAUAGGGUAUUGGCCACAUAGUCUGUUGAGUCGUUUAACAAGUGCUGGAGCAACUAUGGUUGAAUGGGGAGGUGAAGCUGCCAAUGUAAACAACGGCAAACCAUGGCCUCCGAUGGGGAGUGGUCAAUUCCUUCUUCAAACCAAUUUCUUUUCCAUUGCAAACAUGACUGUUCUCAAACCAGACUAAGUGGAAUGAAUAUGUUGUUGAUAAGUUGCUGAUAAGUAAUAGUGAUUGCUAUCAUGCAUUGGAUGGUGGGAAACAAGAUCGAUGGGGAAGAGUUAUCACCUUCGGUGGAAUUGGUGGUCAAUGUGAUGACCCAAUUUAAUUCAAGCUGUAAGAAUGAUCAAGUUUUGAAUCAAUAACACGUCUUUUAGAUUAUAUAUAUAUAUAUAUAUAUAU